UACGAAGGGGGGCUAGCGUUGCUCGGAAUUACUGGGCGUAAAGGGAGCGUAGGCGGGUUAUCAAGUUGGAGGUGAAAGCCCAGGGCUCAACCUUGGAAUUGCCUUCAAAACUGAUAGCCUAGAGUAUGAUAGAGGUAUGUGGAACUCCGAGUGUAGAGGUGAAAUUCGUAGAUAUUCGGAAGAACACCAGUGGCGAAGGCGACAUACUGGGUCAUGACUGACGCUGAGGCUCGAAAGCGUGGGGAGCAAACAGGG
rnacentral:rRNA from 1 species